ensembl:lncRNA
GAAAAAAAAGAAGCAAAUGAUACCAAGACAAGCUACUAAGAGAGAUCUAAUCAGCAGAUGUGUACGGAUGAAAAUACAGUGAGAUGAGUCAGAAAACGGCCAAGGAGGGUCCCAGACUCUCCAAAAACCAGAGGUACUCCGAGCACUUCAGCAUCCACUGCUGCCCGCCGUUCACCUUCCUCAACUCCAAGAAGGAGAUAGUGGAUCGGAAAUACAGCAUCUGUAAGAGUGGCUGCUUCUACCAGAAGAAGGAGGAGGACUGGAUCUGCUGCGCCUGCCAGAAGACCAGAUUGAAAAGAAGGCUUAGGCCAACCCCAAAGAAGAAGUGACCAAGGAGGAGUUUAAAGUGAAUGGAUGGUCUCGGCUCCUGGACUCACUGCUUCACAACCCAUCUACCCUUGGACGAGUUAUCUGGCUUCAAAUAUUAUGCAAGGGCAAACACCUGCUGAUGCAGCAACUGCUGAUGCUCGUUGUCCCCAUGGCAUGAGGGCCUCAGGGCAGCCUGCCUGGAGCACUUGGAAGAUGCCAUCCCAUUGUCUUCUGACCUCUAUAAUUGCCACUGAGAGAUCUGCUGUCAGUCUGCUUAUCCUUCCAUGGCAACGUGGGAUCCUCAAUUUCCAGCUACAGUUUUGUGUAUUUUGA